rnacentral:tRNA from 1 species
GGGGCAUAGCUCAGCUGGGAGAGCGCUUGCUUCGCAUGUAAGAGGUCGGGGGUUCGAAUCCCCCUGUCUCC